AAGCACAAUUCAUUGUCCUGCUCUUCCACUUAUUGAGAGUAGUGAUAUUUCUGUUGUGCUAGAAAAAUAUUGGAGGUAAAUUAGCAGACUGGCUUCUUUGUGCCAAUUCUGCCAGUCCCCUUCACACAGUU
rnacentral:snoRNA from 1 species